rnacentral:rRNA from 1 species
GGAUUAGAUACCCUGGUAGUCCACGCCGUAAACGAUGUCAACUAGCCGUUGGGGGGGUUAAACCCUUUAGUGGCGCAGCUAACGCGAUAAGUUGACCGCCUGGGGAGUACGCCGGCAACAGUAAAACUCAAAGGAAUUGACGGGGGCCCGCACAAGCGGUGGAGCAUGUGGUUUAAUUCGAUGCAACGCGAAGAACCUUACCUGGCCUUGACAUCCUGUGAACUUGGUAGAGAUACCUUGGUGCCUUCGGGAAUACAGUGACAGGUGCUGCAUGGCUGUCGUCAGCUCGUGCCG